CCAGCCUUUUUCCGGCUGGAAGUGUGAUUUCUGUGAGUGUUGAGGUUAGACGGGAAGUGGUGUUGUGUAGAGAAUGGGGGGCGAGGCGCACCGCGAGUCGGCAGGCGAGGCGCGAGGCUCGCGGCGCUCGGCUGGAGGACCUGGCACAUCGUAAAUACUUACAUCUUAGUUGAUUGGAUGAAUGCUGUAGCAUUUGAGCUAAAUCAUGAAGAAUGAAUAGGAUUUCAAAUGACUUAAGGCAAGGGGAAUACCAGCCAGAGCGAAAGCAGAAUCAUGAAAGUGCAUGAGGUCAAGGAUGCAUUCCAAGACAGUUCUAAAAAUAUGUCACCAACUCCAACCUUACAGUUGACCUAGCCAUGGAAAACCUCAUUGGAACCUGAUGAGAUCAGACAAUACUGGCACUCUUAAAAACCCUUCCCAUCAAAAAGUAUCAGGAAUGAAAAUCAGGAAUGAUAUAUACCUACCACUUCAAGAAAGUCUCUGUAUCAGCCAGCAGUUUAGCAGAUCAGCUAGUUUCUUUGGUCAUCAAGCAGACAUAGUCAAGCCACUAACACAAAAGAGGAAAACGUCUCUGUGUCAGUGUUUUUCACAUUAUGCAUGUGACCCAUUUAGUAGGUCAUGAAAUCAAUUUUGUGAGUCAUGACGAACAUUUUUAAAAACAAAAUAAAAUAUAAAAUAUCA